rnacentral:misc_RNA from 1 species
UACGUAGGGGGCAAGCGUUGUCCGGAUUUAUUGGGCGUAAAGAGCUCGUAGGUGGCUCGGCAAGUCGAAUGUGAAAGUCCAGGGCUCAACCCUGGAACGCCAUUCGAAACUGCUGGGCUAGAGGUAGGUAGAGGAGAGUGGAAUUCCUGGUGUAGCGGUGGAAUGCGCAGAUAUCAGGAGGAACACCGAUCGCGAAGGCAGCUCUCUGGGCCUUACCUGACACUAAGGAGCGAAAGCUGGGGGAGCGAACGGG